rnacentral:rRNA from 1 species
AUGUACAUUCAUACAAAAUAGUGUUAAUGCAUUGAAUCCCAUUAGAACUUCGUAGUUAAGCACGCUUGGGCUAGAGUAGUACUGGGAUGGGUUAUCACUCGGGAAGUCUUAGUAUUUUACAUG